rnacentral:rRNA from 1 species
GGUGAACGCUGGCGGCGUGCCUAAUACAUGCAAGUCGAGCGAACGGACGAUGAGCUUUCUCCUCUGAGGUUAGCGUCUGACGGGUGAGUAACACAUGGAUAACCUACCUAUAAGACUUGGAUAACUUCGGGGAACCGGAGCUAAUACCGGCUAAUAUAUUGAACCGCAUAGUUCAAUAGUGCAAGACGGUUUUGCUGUCACUUAUAGAUGUAUCCGCGCUGCAUUAGCUAGUUGGUAAGGUAACGGCCUACCAAGGCAACGUUGCAUAUCCGACCUGAGAGGGUGAUCAGCCACACUGGAACUGAGGCACGGUCCAGACUCCUAAGGGAGGCAGCAGUGGGGAAUAUUCCACAAUGGGCGGAAGCCUGAACGAGCCAUGCCGCGUGGGUGAAGAAGGGCUUCGGGUUGUAAAACCCUUUUGUUAGGGAAGAAAAGAAGUGGAAAUAAACUCGGCAAUUCUGAAGGUACCCAAAGAAAAAGCCCCGGCUAACUUCGUG